CGAGAUUUGGUAAAUGCAGCUAAUGAGGAAAGUGGUGACGUGUGUUGUAGCGCGCGAGUAGAGAAGAUACGCUAACCCAGGUGCGUGAGGGUGACAAUCUUCCCAAAAAGAUAGGAACAAGGUUUCAGAAGCAAACUGAAGGAAAACAGGCAAAGAAGGACACGUCAGUGAUUGUAGCCAUGUUGUUGAUCUACACUUUAUACGACGUGG
rnacentral:lncRNA from 1 species